rnacentral:lncRNA from 1 species
UUCCAAGUAAUUAGCACUUUGCAUCUAUUUUAUUUAUUGCUACUACUAAGAAAACAUAACCGUGAAGGCAUAAAAGCAAACAUUUUCUGUAGACACAUGAGGUGACACAAGAGUGUUGAAACUUCUUUAAGGAUAAAGGCCUGAUGUUAGGCAUGUCGUGAGCGCAAAACCAAUUUCUGUGUAACUAAAUUUAAAAGAGUCAUAUUAGAGGGGAGAAAUGGAAGAUAAACUGCAAAACGUAAACAAUGAUUACUUAGGUGAUAGAGUUAUGUCUGAUCUUUGUAUUUGACUCAUCUGCAUUUAUAAAUUUUAUUUAAUAAGCCUUAAUUUCCUAGGCCAUAUAUCAUAUACAAAUAUAAGUUAUACCUAACUUAUAGGUAUUAUAAUAUGUAUAUAUACAUAAAUGUAUGAAUAUUUACAUAUGCGUGUGUGUGUGUAUUCUUUCAGAAAAGCAAAGUUUUCUUCGGGCUUUAAACACGCAGCCUCUGGUAAAGGUGCUAUUGGUACAAAAGUUCAACAAGCAUAGCUCCAAGCUUUGACAAUUUUCUUACACUUUACUAAUACUGCUGUCCAAAAACUAUGAGAUUUUCAAAGCAGCCAACAUUGCAGUGGUGCAAUGGUUAAUAACAAGAGAGAGAAGAGUGUGGCCUGAGGUUGUAUAAAUGUUUUCUCAAUCUUGAAUCAUUAAUUUUCUCCAAGGAAGUUUCUAAAGAAUCCCAAAUAGUGCACACUAUUUCUGAAAGGAACAGGAUUUUUUUUUCUAAUCAUAAAAUGGACCCAGACAUCUCAGCCUCUUGGUGUAAUCUGGAUAUCAGAUGCAAUCAGCGAACAGCCUGAGUUUUGGAAUUAGAUCUGAGUUCAAUCCCAUAUCUCCCAUUUACUAGCUGUGUGAUCUUGGCUGAAUUACUGAAGCUCUCUGAACCUCAUUUCGCCAUCUGUAAAAUGGGGAUGUGGUUAUCUUCCCCACUACAUGGCUCUCGUGAGAAUCCGCGGAGAUCACAUUUGUAAACACUUCUCUCGCUAUGCCUGGCACUUUGUUGGGGCCCAAUAAAAUAAAAAUCCAUGGACUCUCAGAGGCUCCGGUACUCAAAUGAGCCUCCUGGAUCCACGUCUCUUUGAUUAGCCAUCUGCAAGCUGGCAUUUCUGAGCGAGGGACUUUUCAAAACAGGCUGCUCAAGUUUCUUGGCCAAUAAUAGGCGCCGGGUUCUGUGCGGUGGGAACGAGUACCACCAACCCCAGCAGGAGACCAAGCAGAAAUCACCAUGGGAGUGCAAGCUAAGAAAGGGCAAAAGAAGAAAGAGAAGGGCAGAAAAACAAAACAAAAUGAAACCACUCAGGCAGCGACUUACAGUCUUAAAGAGAGAAUUCCCGGAAGGGAGACAAGGCAGUUUCUUUUUCUGUGUGACAAUAAAAAACGGUAAACAAGCCUCCAGAAGCUCAUUCAGCCCCCAUAUAACUUUUUCGAGAAAGAAAAGGUGCCGUUCUUCCGAGCCCUCCGGCUUAACCACUGCUUCGGUGCUGACUUAUUUCCUACGUCUGAGAACUGCCAGAAAA